AUUGAACGCUGGCGGCAUGCUUUACACAUGCAAGUCGGACGGCAGCACAGAGAAGCUUGCUUCUUGGGUGGCGAGUGGCGAACGGGUGAGUAAUAUAUCGGAACGUACCGAGUAAUGGGGGAUAUCUAAUCGAAAGAUUAGCUAAUACCGCAUAUUCUCUGAGGAGGAAAGCAGGGGACCUUCUUGCCUUGCGUUAUUCGAGCGGCCGAGAUCUGAUUAGCGAGUGGGUGGGGUAAAGGCCUACCAAGGAGACGCUCGGUAGCGGGUCUGAGAGGAUGAUCCGCCACACGGGGACUGAGACACGGCACAGACUCCUGCGGGAGGCAGCAGUGGGGAAUUUUAGACAAUGGGGGCGAGGCUGAUACAGCCAUACCGAGUGAGUGAAGAAGGCCUUCGGGUUGGAAAGGACUUAUGUCAGGAAAGAAAAGAAGCUUGCUAAUAUGGACAGCUAAUGACGGUACCUGAAGAAUAAGCACCGGCUAACUACGUG
rnacentral:rRNA from 1 species